CCUACGGGCGGCAGCAGUGAGGAAUAUUGGUCAAUGGACGAGAGUCUGAACCAGCCAAGUAGCGUGAAGGAUGACUGCCCUAUGGGUUGUAAACUUCUUUUAUAUGGGAAUAAAAUGUUCCACGUGUGGGAUUUUGUAUGUACCAUAUGAUUAAGGAUCGGCUAACUCCGUGCCAGCAGCCGCGGUAAUACGGAGGAUCCGAGCGUUAUCCGGAUUUAUUGGGUUUAAAGGGAGCGUAGGUGGAUUGUUAAGUCAGUUGUGAAAGUUUGCGGCUCAACCGUAAAAUUGCAGUUGAAACUGGCAGUCUUGAGUACAGUAGAGGUGGGCGGAAUUCGUGGUGUAGCGGUGAAAUGCUUAGAGAUCACGAAGAACACCGAUUGCGAAGGCAGUUCACUAGACUGCAACUGACACUGAGGCUCGAAAGUGUGGGUAUCAAACAGGAUUAGAUACCCGGGUAGUC
rnacentral:rRNA from 1 species